rnacentral:rRNA from 1 species
GACGAACCGUGCGAACGUUAUUCGGAAUCACUGGGCUUAAAGCGCGUGUAGGCGGCCCGGAGCAUCGUCGGCUGAAAUCCCCCGGCUCAACCGGGGAACGGGCCACGAGAUGUCCGGGCUGGAGGGGGGUAGGGGGAGCCGGAACUCACGGUGGAGCGGUGAAAUGCGUUGAGAUCGUGAGGAACGCCCGUGGCGAAAGCGGGCUCCUGGACCCCGCCUGACGCUGAGACGCGAAAGCCAGGGGAGCCGGA